GGGUGCAAUCAUACCAGCGUUAAUGCACCGGAUCCCAUAAGAACUCCGCAGUUAAUCGUGCUUGGGAUAGAGUAGUACUGGGAUGGGUGACCUCCCGAGAAGUCCUAGUGUUGCACCCU
rnacentral:rRNA from 1 species